UACAGAGGUCUCAAGCGUUGUUCGGAAUUAUUGGGCGUAAAGAGCUUGUAGGCGGUUUGUCGCGUCUGCUGUGAAAUUUCGGGGCUCAACCCCGAACUUGCAGUGGGUACGGGCAGACUAGAGUGUGGUAGGGGAGACUGGAAUUCCUGGUGUAGCGGUGAAAUGCGCAGAUAUCAGGAGGAACACCGAUGGCGAAGGCAGGUCUCUGGGCCAUAACUGACGCUGAGAAGCGAAAGCAUGGGGAGCGAACAGG
rnacentral:rRNA from 1 species